rnacentral:misc_RNA from 1 species
CCGAUCAGCGAGCUGUCUUCUUCUUGCCUGCAACAGUCACCCGCUUCCCCUUGAGUGUGCGGCAGUUAUUCUUCGUCCGCUGCCCUCUGCAGGGCAGCCCCAUUUCAUGCCGGAUUCCCCUGUAGCACCGUAUCUCCUUCAACCUCUGUAUCGCCAGCCGAUUGAACCGUUUCAGAUCCCCUUCAAUCACAUACUUCGAAACCUCAUCACGAACACUAAUCAGCUCCUCCGCCGUCAGAUCUUUUGUGACCUUGUUGUCGAGAUUGAGGUCAGAG